GUUAAAAAAAAAAAGAAGAAAAUCCAAAUCAUGCAGAGAUGAAUCAUGCAUUGUUCUAUUUUAGGAAUUUAUGAAUUGGAACUUAUGAUGAAAGUAUCAAU